GAAGAGAGAGUUAAACAGGACGUGAAACCACCAGGGACGAAGCGGAUGAAGCCGACGAAACUCGCGGUAUUCAGGUGUGCGCGGCCGUCUGGCGGUGCUUGCUCGCGGCCGGUGUUGUCGUGGCGGCGUCGUCUAGCGCGGCUGUGUGCUCUGCAUUUGCUGCGGGUGUGCGUUGAGAGGCCUGCUCGCCUCCUCCUAACCGCCGUGUGUUGCCCUUGCUUGCAAGGUGUCUUGCGCGGUGGGGCUGUCGAUGGCGGGUAGGUUGUUGCCUUCAGCGGCUGACGAUUGCGCGGUGCGCGUCGCGGCAUGCGUUGUGCGUGAGCAGUGGCGUGCCACUCGUUUGCGUCCUCAGCGUGCGUUGUGUGCGCGCGUCGCUACAGCUCGCUGUCUCGGCGUUAAAGUUGGUCACUCAUCCGACCCGUCUUGAAACACGGACCAAGAAGUCUAGCAUGUGCGCGAGUCAUUGGGCGUAAAAACCUAAAGGCGAAAUGAAAGUAAAGGCCGCCUUGGUGCGGCUGAUAUGGGAGUCGUGAGCGUGCGCGCUCGCGAUGCACCAUAGCCCCAUCCCCUGAGCUUGCUCUGGGGUGGAGGAAGAGCGUACAUGCUGGGACCCGAAAGAUGGUGAACUAUGCGUGAGCAGGAUGAAGUCAGAGGAAACUCUGAUGGAAGUCCGAAGCGGUUCUGACGUGCAAAUCGAUCGUCUGACUUGGGUAUAGGGGCGAAAGACUA
rnacentral:rRNA from 1 species